AACGUAGGUUCCGAGCGUUAUCCGGAUUUACUGGGCGUAAAGCGCGUGUAGGCGGUUGUUCAAGUCGGGUGUGAAAGCCUUGAGCUCAACUCAAGAAAUGCACUCGAUACUGGAUGACUUGAGGACCGGAGAGGAUAGUGGAAUUCCCAGUGUAGUGGUGAAAUACGUAGAGAUUGGGAAGAACACCAGUGGCGAAGGCGGCUAUCUGGACGGUUUCUGACGCUAAGACGCGAAAGCGUGGGGAGCAAACAGG
rnacentral:rRNA from 1 species